rnacentral:tRNA from 1 species
CGGCGUCGUUGGCGUAUGCGGCGACGACACGCCUGGCCUGGCGGGCGGUGCUGUCGGCUAGCGGUUCGACUUCGCCGAUAUCGGC